rnacentral:rRNA from 1 species
AGUGAACGCUGGCGGUAGGCCUAACACAUGCAAGUCGAACGGCAGCACAGUAAGAGCUUGCUCUUACGGGUGGCGAGUGGCGGACGGGUGAGGAAUACAUCGGAAUCUACUUUUUCGUGGGGGAUAACGUAGGGAAACUUACGCUAAUACCGCAUACGACCUACGGGUGAAAGCAGGGGAUCUUCGGACCUUGCGCGAUUGAAUGAGCCGAUGUCGGAUUAGCUAGUUGGCGGGGUAAAGGCCCACCAAGGCGACGAUCCGUAGCUGGUCUGAGAGGAUGAUCAGCCACACUGGAACUGAGACACGGUCCAGACUCCUACGGGAGGCAGCAGUGGGGAAUAUUGGACAAUGGGCGCAAGCCUGAUCCAGCCAUACCGCGUGGGUGAAGAAGGCCUUCGGGUUGUAAAGCCCUUUUGUUGGGAAAGAAAAGCAGCAGGUUAAUACCCCGCUCUUCUGACGGUACCCAAAGAAUAAGCACCGGCUAACUUCGUG